GACGAACGCUGGCGGCGUGCCUAAUACAUGCAAGUAGAACGCUGAAGAGAGGAGCUUGCUCUUCUUGGAUGAGUUGCGAACGGGUGAGUAACGCGUAGGUAACCUGCCCUGUAGCGGGGGAUAACUAUUGGAAACGAUAGCUAAUACCGCAUAACAAUGGAUGACCCAUGUCAUUUAUUUGAAAGGGGCAAAUGCUCCACUACAAGAUGGACCUGCGUUGUAUUAGCUAGUAGGUGAGGUAACGGCUCACCUAGGCGACGAUACAUAGCCGACCUGAGAGGGUGAUCGGCCACACUGGGACUGAGACACGGCCCAGACUCCUACGGGAGGCAGCAGUAGGGAAUCUUCGGCAAUGGGGGCAACCCUGACCGAGCAACGCCGCGUGAGUGAAGAAGGUUUUCGGAUCGUAAAGCUCUGUUGUAAGUCAAGAACGAGUGUGAGAGUGGAAAGUUCACACUGUGACGGUAGCUUACCAGAAAGGGACGGCUAACUACGUGCCAGCAGCCGCGGUAAUACGUAGGUCCCGAGCGUUGUCCGGAUUUAUUGGGCGUAAAGCGAGCGCAGGCGGUUUGAUAAGUCUGAAGUUAAAGGCUGUGGCUCAACCAUAGUUCGCUUUGGAAACUGUCAAACUUGAGUGCAGAAGGGGAGAGUGGAAUUCCAUGUGUAGCGGUGAAAUGCGUAGAUAUAUGGAGGAACACCGGUGGCGAAAGCGGCUCUCUGGUCUGUAACUGACGCUGAGGCUCGAAAGCGUGGGGAGCGAACAGGAUUAGAUACCCUGGUAGUCCACGCCGUAAACGAUGAGUGCUAGGUGUUGGAUCCUUUCCGGGAUUCAGUGCCGCAGCUAACGCAUUAAGCACUCCGCCUGGGGAGUACGACCGCAAGGUUGAAACUCAAAGGAAUUGACGGGGGCCCGCACAAGCGGUGGAGCAUGUGGUUUAAUUCGAAGCAACGCGAAGAACCUUACCAGGUCUUGACAUCCCGAUGCUAUUUCUAGAGAUAGAAAGUUACUUCGGUACAUCGGUGACAGGUGGUGCAUGGUUGUCGUCAGCUCGUGUCGUGAGAUGUUGGGUUAAGUCCCGCAACGAGCGCAACCCCUAUUGUUAGUUGCCAUCAUUCAGUUGGGCACUCUAGCGAGACUGCCGGUAAUAAACCGGAGGAAGGUGGGGAUGACGUCAAAUCAUCAUGCCCCUUAUGACCUGGGCUACACACGUGCUACAAUGGUUGGUACAACGAGUUGCGAGUCGGUGACGGCAAGCUAAUCUCUUAAAGCCAAUCUCAGUUGGGAUUGUAGGCUGCAACUCGCCUACAUGAAGUCGGAAUCGCUAGUAAUCGCGGAUCAGCACGCCGCGGUGAAUACGUUCCCGGGCCU
rnacentral:rRNA from 1 species